rnacentral:rRNA from 1 species
AGGCAGCAGUGGGGAAUAUUGCACAAUGGGCGCAAGCCUGAUGCAGCCAUGCCGCGUGUGUGAAGAAGGCCUUCGGGUUGUAAAGCACUUUCAGUUGUGAGGAAGGUGGUGUCGUUAAUAGCGGCAUCAUUUGACGUUAGCAACAGAAGAAGCACCGGCUAACUCCGUGCCAGCAGCCGCGGUAAUACGGAGGGUGCGAGCGUUAAUCGGAAUUACUGGGCGUAAAGCGCAUGCAGGUGGUUGUUAAGUCAGAUGUGAAAGCCCGGGGCUCAACCUCGGAACUGCAUUUGAAACUGGCAGACUAGAGUACUGUAGAGGGGGUAGAAUUUCAGGUGUAGCGGUGAAAUGCGUAGAGAUCUGAAGGAAUACCGGUGGCGAAGGCGGCCCCCUGGACAGAUACUGACACUCAGAUGCGAAAGCGUGGGGAGCAAACAGGAUUAGAUACCCUGGUAG